GCUUCGGCGGUUGCCUAGUGGCGCACGGGUGAGUAACGCGUGGGAACCUGCCCUGUGGUGCGGAAUAACUCNNNNNNNNNNNNNNUAAUACCGCAUGUGUCCCUUGGGACAAAGAUUGCAUCGCCAUGGGAUGGGCCCGCGUAGGAUUAGCUAGUUGGCGGGGUAACGGCCCACCAAGGCUACGAUCCUUAGCUGGUCUGAGAGGAUGAUCAGCCACACUGGGACUGAGACACGGCCCAGACUCCUACGGGAGGCAGCAGUGGGGAAUAUUGGACAAUGGGCGCAAGCCUGAUCCAGCAAUGCCGCGUGAGUGAUGAAGGCCUUCGGGUUGUAAAGCUCUUUCGCACGCGACGAUGAUGACGGUAGCGUGAGAAGAAGCCCCGGCUAACUUCGUGCUAGCAGCCGCGGUAAU
rnacentral:rRNA from 1 species